rnacentral:rRNA from 1 species
AUUGAACGCUGGCGGAAUGCUUUACACAUGCAAGUCGAACGGUAGAGGGGGCAACCCCUUGAGAGUGGCGAACGGGUGAGUAAUAUAUCGGAACGUGCCCAGUCGUGGGGGAUAACGUAGUGAAAAUUACGCUAAUACCGCAUACGAUCUAAGGAUGAAAGCGGGGGAUCGCAAGACCUCGCGCGAUUGGAGCGGCCGAUAUCAGAUUAGGUAGUUGGUAGGGUAAAGGCCUACCAAGCCAACGAUCUGUAGCUGGUCUGAGAGGACGACCAGCCACACUGGAACUGAGACACGGUCCAGACUCCUACGGGAGGCAGCAGUGGGGAAUUUUGGACAAUGGGCGAAAGCCUGAUCCAGCCAUUCCGCGUGCAGGAUGAAGGCCCUCGGGUUGUAAACUGCUUUUGUACAGAACGAAAAGGUCUCUAUUAAUACUAGGGGCUCAUGACGGUACUGUAGGAAUAAGCACCGGCUAACUACGUGCCAGCAGCCGCAGUAA